rnacentral:ncRNA from 1 species
AGUUCUGAUGCACCGCGAAACGAAUUUUGCAGGUGGAGAACGAGGAGACAAUCGAGGCACAAAGUGCCCGGACCCCAAAGCGCUGUUGGACGGAAUCCAACAGCGCUUUUUC